rnacentral:rRNA from 1 species
AUACGUAGGGGGCGAGCGUUGUCCGGAAUGACUGGGCGUAAAGGGCGCGUAGGCGGCUUUGCAAGUCAGUAGUGGAAGCCCAUUUUUCAAGGAUGGAAGUGCUACAGAAACUGCGGAGCUUGAGUGCAGGAGAGGUUAUCGGAAUUCCCGGUGUAGCGGUGAAAUGCGUAGAGAUCGGGAGGAACACCAGUGGCGAAGGCGGGUAACUGGACUGCAACUGACGCUGAGGCGCGAAAGUGUGGGGAGCAAACAGGAUUAGAUACCCUGGUAGUCCACACCGUAAACGAUGAAUACUAGGUGUAGGAGGUAUCGACUCCUUCUGUGCCGCAGCAAACGCAUUAAGUAUUCCACCUGGGGAGUACGGCCGCAAGGUUAAAACUCAAAGGAAUUGACGGGG